GUCGAGCGGAUGAAGGGAGCUUGCUCCUGGAUUCAGCGGCGGACGGGUGAGUAAUGCCUAGGAAUCUGCCUGGUAGUGGGGGAUAACGUCCGGAAACGGGCGCUAAUACCGCAUACGUCCUGAGGGAGAAAGUGGGGGAUCUUCGGACCUCACGCUAUCAGAUGAGCCUAGGUCGGAUUAGCUAGUUGGUGGGGUAAAGGCCUACCAAGGCGACGAUCCGUAACUGGUCUGAGAGGAUGAUCAGUCACACUGGAACUGAGACACGGUCCAGACUCCUACGGGAGGCAGCAGUGGGGAAUAUUGGACAAUGGGCGAAAGCCUGAUCCAGCCAUGCCGCGUGUGUGAAGAAGGUCUUCGGAUUGUAAAGCACUUUAAGUUGGGAGGAAGGGCAGUAAGUUAAUACCUUGCUGUUUUGACGUUACCAACAGAAUAAGCACCGGCUAACUUCGUGCCAGCAGCCGCGGUAAUACGAAGGGUGCAAGCGUUAAUCGGAAUUACUGGGCGUAAAGCGCGCGUAGGUGGUUCAGCAAGUUGGAUGUGAAAUCCCCGGGCUCAACCUGGGAACUGCAUCCAAAACUACUGAGCUAGAGUACGGUAGAGGGUGGUGGAAUUUCCUGUGUAGCGGUGAAAUGCGUAGAUAUAGGAAGGAACACCAGUGGCGAAGGCGACCACCUGGACUGAUACUGACACUGACGUGCGAAAGCGUGGGGAGCAAACAGGAUUAGAUACCCUGGUAGUCCACGCCGUAAACGAUGUCGACUAGCCGUUGGGAUCCUUGAGAUCUUAGUGGCGCACCUAACGCGAUAAGUCGACCGCCUGGGGAGUACGG
rnacentral:rRNA from 1 species